rnacentral:lncRNA from 1 species
GAUUGACUCAUUUGUGUUGUAAAGUAGACUACCUAUAUCAUGAAUUGCUGUUUUGUUGGCAUAUGAAGUAGGCAUUUGACCAAUGGUCUAAUAACGCAGCAAAACAAAAUAAAAACGUAUAAUGAUUCAAUAUAAAAAAAGAUAUAGUAUGAUUUUCAAUGAAACAACUAUCCCCCAGAAUACGUGGAUGCUAGCAAUUAUAGGCAAAGCUAAGGCUGUUGAGAAUGAGAAAAACACAUACCGAACAGUUGGCUAUAAAAUACCCGGACAAAUAUAGUGUGCAAUAAUCAGAAAAAAAAAGAAAACGAAUGGCCUAUUUUAUGACAAAAUAAUUGAAGAAAUCGUAAUAUAAUGAAACAACGACAACCAAUGAACAUUUAAUCACUUCCGCUGGUUACAGAAAAGACUUGGUUACACAAGUUGAUGAAAAGCAGGUGAUCUAAUUACCAUAGUAUCCUGUUAUUGUAUCAAUUAGACAGAAGGGCA